rnacentral:rRNA from 1 species
AGUGAACGCUGGCGGCGUGCCUAAUACAUGCAAGUCGAACGGAGUGGCGCACGCGGGAGUAAUAUAUAGCUAAUCUGCCCCUUGCUGGAGGGCAACAGUCAGAAAUGACUGCUAAUUCUCCAUAGCAAGGGAUGAGACUAUAUCGUAUCAGCUAGUCGGUGUGGUAACGGCCUACCGACGCUAUGACAAGUAACUGGUCUGUGAGGAUGAUCAGCCAAAUUGGAACUGAGACACGGUCCAAACUCCGACGGGAGGCAGCAGUAGGGAAUAUUGAGCAAGGGGGGAAACCCUGACGCAGCAACGCCGCGUGGAGGAUGACACUUUUCGGAGAGUAAAAUCCUUUUGUUAGGGAAGCGGUACCUGACGAAUAAGCACCGGCUAACUCCGUGCCAGCAGCCGCGGUAAUUC